rnacentral:rRNA from 1 species
CCUACGGGGGACUGCAGUGAGGAAUAUUGGUCAAUGGGCGGGAGCCUGAACCAGCCAAGCCGCGUGAGGGAAGAAGGUACAGCGUAUCGUAAACCUCUUUUGUCAGGGAACAAAGGCGGGGACUAGUCCCCGGAUGAGGGUACCUGAAGAAAAAGCAUCGGCAAACUCCGUGCCAGCAGCCGCGGUAAUACGGAGGAUGCGAGCGUUAUCCGGAUUUAUGGGGUUUAAAGGGUGCGCAGGCGGCCUGUUAAGUCAGCGGUAAAAGCCUGGGGCUCAACCCCGGCGAGCCGUUGAAACUGGCGGGCUGGAGUUGGAGAGAAGUACGCGGAAUGCGCGGUGUAGCGGUGAAAUGCUUAGAUAUCGCGCAGAACCCCGAUUGCGAAGGCAGCGUACCGGCUCCACACUGACGCUGAGGCACGAAAGCGUGGGUAUCGAACAGGAUUAGAUACCCCUGUAGUC